rnacentral:rRNA from 1 species
AUUGAACGCUGGCGGCAUGCCUUACACAUGCAAGUCGAACGGUAACAGGUCUUCGGAUGCUGACGAGUGGCGAACGGGUGAGUAAUACAUCGGAACGUGCCCGAUCGUGGGGGAUAACGAAGCGAAAGCUUUGCUAAUACCGCAUACGAUCUACGGAUGAAAGCAGGGGACCGCAAGGCCUUGCGCGAACGGAGCGGCCGAUGGCAGAUUAGGUAGUUGGUGGGAUAAAAGCUUACCAAGCCGACGAUCUGUAGCUGGUCUGAGAGGACGACCAGCCACACGGGGACUGAGACACGGCCCAGACUCCUAAGGGAGGCAGCAGUGGGGAAUUUUGGACAAUGGGCGAAAGCCUGAUCCAGCCAGGCCGCGUGCAGGAUGAAGGCCUUCGGGUUGUAAACUGCUUUUGUACGGAACGAAAAGACUCUGGUUAAUACCUGGGGUCCAUGACGGUACCGGAAGAAUAAGCACCGGCUAACUACGUG